ACGAACGCUGGCGGCAUGCCUAACACAUGCAAGUCGAACGAGACCUUCGGGUCUAGUGGCGCACGGGUGCGUAACGCGUGUGAACCUGCCCUUAGGUUCGGAAUAACUCCCCGAAAGGGGUGCUAAUACCGGAUAAUGUCUUCGGACCAAAGAUUUAUCGCCUUUGGAUGGGCCCGCGUUGGAUUAGCUAGUUGGUAGGGUAAAAGCCUACCAAGGCGACGAUCCAUAGCUGGUCUGAGAGGAUGAUCAGCCACACUGGGACUGAGACACGGCCCAGACUCCUACGGGAGGCAGCAGUGGGGAAUAUUGGACAAUGGGCGAAAGCCUGAUCCAGCAAUGCCGCGUGAGUGAUGAAGGCCUUAGGGUUGUAAAGCUCUUUUACCCGGGAUGAUAAUGACAGUACCGGGAGAAUAAGCUCCGGCUAACUCCGUG
rnacentral:rRNA from 1 species